UUAAAUAUUUAUUAAAAUAGAAAUUGAUUUUCUUUUUUACUUUGUUAUAUUUUUUAGAAAAUUAUUUCGGAUAUUUUAUAAAUAAAAUAUAGUUGAAAGUAAAUUAGUAACCAUAAUCAUGGUUUCUAAUGAUGAACUAAAAUCCUUUUUAUGGAUUACUCAUUAAGUAUUCUUUAAAUAAAUCAAAUAAAAAAGGAGGUUAAGUCAAUGGGUAAGAGAAAGGAAGGGGAUGGAGGGGGCUCAACCUCUGCCCAUGACACUCUGUCUUCCAUGAAGGAGGUCUGCAAUCAGUGUCUUGGGAGAGGAGGAGACUCACAUGUGAUGUGUUUGUUUCCAGAAUCUAAUCCCGAGACGCUCACUAUUGGCUUCUUAUGUAGAAGCCAUGGUUGUGUUUGUCUUCGGCCAGCUUUCACUGUGGACACCGAAUGGAAUAUGCCAUACUAAACAUUACUUCAUGGCCUGAAAGUAAAUGAUUUAUCUUUGUUUUUCCGUAAGACAGAGAAAUUGGAUGGAAAAUGCUGCAUCUUUUUCUUAGUGAUGGCAGUAAAAGAUGUCCAAAAGAGAUGACAAGCAUUAUCACGGGAAAGUGAUGUGUGUCUGCACUUGAUUGCUAAUGUUCUUCAAAGUAGUGGACCAUUGAUGCUAAGAAGUUUGGUUGCUUAGUGCACCUCGCUAUCCAGCACUGACAAGAAUGACGAGGACUUCCAUCCUAUCAGUUCACAAGAAGAUCUAUGAGACCUUAACUCUCUCUCUCUCUCUCUCUGUGUCUUUUGUAUUUUCUUUUAUGUCUACUACUGCUUUUGUUGAAAGUGUGACUGGCAGCAGAUCGAGCAAGAAGAAAGAGGCUCUGAUAGAAGAAUAAUUGUAAUGUUGAUAUGCUGCCACCUUUGAGGAUUCUGAUGUGAACCUUAUGACCUGCUUUUGCUUUUGUGAGCUAAAACUAAUCAUUCCUUUGGCCUUUCAGAUAUUGGACCAUGAAGACAAUGUGAUGAUGAGGCCUUUAAAGCUUGUUUACUGAUGAGGCAGCAGAAGGAAGCUGGUGGAGCAAUGAAGGAAGCAUGUGGCAUCUGAAAUACUAAUGUUUACUUGACAAUAGCUUCUGUGUUGGGACUAAAACUAGUCUGGCUGAAGUUGUUUAAAGGCCUUUUUUGUUCCUCAAGCGUUUUAAAGGUUCUCUUUCAUGGAGUUAGUUGUCUAUUAGGAACCAUUGCUGGUUUGCCAUGGAUGAACUUAACUCAUGACUACAAAGAGUAAAGGAGAAGACUAAGAGGUCUCUCUGAUACUGAUUAGAUGAGAAGCUAUCUGUGAACUCCACUGAAUGAACUGAAGGACAUAACUGAAACAAAUCAAAAAGAGAGGAUUUCCAGCAGUUCCACUCAUCACCAAAACAAAAGAAACCAUUAAAAUCAGCAAUGGAAAGGGAAAGAAAAGAUCUUUUUUUUCUUCCACUCCUGAGUGGGGGUUGUGUUGUGAUGAAAUGAUGGAUGGUGAUGAUUCUGUGAUCAGCUCCUUCUCCCUCUUCGUUCUGAUCCACUAGUAGGACAUCCAAGCUGAGUCAUUGCAGCUUUCAAUUCAGAAGAGGAGGACAUCUCCAUUUUCUGAGCCAGUGCUGAUAGAGAAAGGCAAAUGAAAUGGUGGAAGCUUAGGAACUACAAAAUCCAGGGUGUUUCUUCCACAAAUUUGUCUGGUUCAUGUUGAUUCAAUCAAAUCAAAAGAUAUCUAUUAGCUUGGGAUGAAUUCCAAUACCUUAGUAGAUUCAAUAAUGAAGAGUGUAAAAUACAUGAAUCUUGUGUUGCAAUUUCCAUUAUUGAAGAGAAUAAUUAUAGUUUAAGAAACAUAGAUAAAUGUUAGGUAAUUAUCAUUUGAAAAUACUGUAUAAUUGGAAGGCCAAUAAAUAUAGGCCAAAGACAGAGAGAACACACCAAGUUUCUCCUUGGUGAUUUGUUCCCCAACCCAAGUUCUUCUAACAACAGGCCACACACAUCUAGCAACUCUUCUCUUUUGGCCCAUAUACUAUUUAUUUCCAAUUUAUAUCCUAUGUUGAUGUUUCAAAAAGGAAAAAUUAAAGUGAAUAAUGUUGAGCAUAAUGAAAAGGUCUAUCUCUUAUUACAUAGUAUAUAGUUGGAGAGCAACUGUGUUUGAACUUUAAUUAUAAGAAUUUUAAUUAUACGUCGAAUUGAUCGGACUAUUAACUAAUAGGAUAAUGACUAUCAACAUUGUGUCUUAACCAUUAUUAAUUAUUAUCAAUUAUUCAUUAUAUGAAAAAGUUUAGAUCCUUUUCAAGAAUAUAUGGAACAGAUAAAUUGAGCCCAUCUUAUUAAUGCAAUUAAUCUGACAAUCCAGUGAUGAGACUUGGUAAACUGAAACAAGCAGGCCAAGGAUAGAACAGCUAAGCUUCUGCUAGCCUUGACAGGUAUUGGAGACCGAGCUCGACAAACAUGGAGGACCAGCUUGCACUCCAUUAGCCUGCUUCACUUGGAGACUGCAGCAGAAUGAGUGUUGGAUCACAGGCUCUUCCACAGUCUCCCUCUCUUUGAAACUUGAGCUACUCCUGCUCUCUCAGCUCAUUGCUAUGAUCACAUCAGUUGCAGUCUCUAAGAGGAAUGAGUACUGAAGCUGGAAGAGAAAGCUUUGGGUGCAGAAGAAGAGUGCACAUAUAACAUGAGCACAAGGAUAAGGUUGAUCAUCAACUUAAUCAGUGACUAUAAGGAUUGCAGGUUAAGCUCUAAUGCUACUACUCAAACCUGAUGACUCCAUUUACUAGGCAAAAUCUUUAGGAUGUCUUUUGUUGAACCUAAUGUUCUUAGCUUAGAUAAGCUUUUAGUGGCAGUUGAGCUUCCAUCUCUUAGCAAUGGAAGCUUACUUCUCUCUUACUUUCUGAUGUCUUUUGUUUCAAUCUUCUUUGAUGAGCUCUGUGCAUUGACUCCAAAAAUUCUAUUAUAUUACAUAUACACUAGCUAGUAUUAGCACUUUAUAUAAUCCAUAUGAGUUGAAUGAAUUUUGACUUGAACGCCAAUGUUAUAUGCAUGCAUAUUGCUAUGAAAAAUGCUGAAAUGCCUGCCAUCAUACUUUUAUGAUUUGACCUGAAUACAUUGUUGAUAACUUAAAUGCAAACACAAUUCAUGUGUACUAUCUGAAUAUAUGAUUUGACCUGAAUAUAUUAUAAAAAAAAGUAAUGCAUAAAUUUAAUUGAAUACACUGUUAUAGGCUCCCUGCAAAGCAUUGAAUGAGCUAAAUAAGUUUCUUAUAUUUUGAACUGUCAAUGGAUAAAUCAGAGACAGCCAUUAUAAUCAAUUGCAUAACUUGGCAUAAACCAAGUGUUAAUGUGGUACAUGUUUUCUUGAAGGAAAGUUACUAGUGAUUUAUUUUUUUUCUAAAAUAACCUGCAAGAAUUACUGAAUUUUUGAUGGGCAGAAAACAUUUUGGAUCAACAAAAUAAUUUCAUGAUUUCUAGCCCUUACUAAUUUUCAUUACUAGCAGCUGGGACAAACCAAAAGCAAAUAUGAAAAGUAGAGUCAAAUGAGUGUUCAAGUGUGUAAAGAAGCUUCUAUGAUGUGAAAUUAGAGUACUAAUAAUUUAGCUAAUAUAUGAUCUUUGCAUCUAAAUAAUCUCUCUCUCAAACACACACACAUCCAUUUAUUUAAUUAUUCUAAUUUUAUCCAAUAAUUUUUCAUCAAAGAAGAGUAGAAGUAAAUUAGAGUGCAAUUUCAAGUCAAUGGCAGCCUAUGCAGCCUAUAUAAAUAACCUAAGGCGACCUCAGCUACCAUACUACUGCCAAGAAUCUUAUCUAGAUUACAAGCUUCCGCUUUUUCUAGUAGAUAACAAGUUUUGACGAGAAGUAAAUAGAAGACAAUUCAAUCCUCUCCCUAUAAUUUACAUGCAAGUCUUCCUUUAGCAAUUCCCAAACUCCAUCCUUUAGAAUAAAGAGUUCAACACCACUGGAGAAGUGGUCAAAGGAAAGGAGAAAGAAGAAGAAGAAGAAGAAGAAGAAGAAGAAGAAGAUAAUUCACUUAUUGUGAAGGGGAUCCGGGCAACUUGGCACUACUCGCUUGUUUUCAUCCAUGUCGGAAGCCGGGGACGCAACGUCGGGUGGCGCCGGUCUUCUCCCUAUGACGGUCACCCUCUCCGGCACUCUCACCGCGCCGCCGCCGCCUGUCCUUGGACGAAGUAUCGGAAUUGCCACUGCUUGACAGCGACAGCAGCGGCAGGAGACCAAGAUGGCGCACAGCAUGAUCAUCGCCAGGCAGAAGAGAGGCCUUCUCCUCCUCGUCUUCACGCACUCAGCUGCCGACAGCAUCGAUCACAAAGCUACUGUAAGUUGCUGCUGCUGCUGAUGAUGAUGAUGAUGGUGAUAAACUAGAGAGAAGCCAUGAGAGUAGAUGAAGAGAGAGGGCGGGGUUUGUGGUCUUGUUUUAGUGGGGGGCGGGGGGUUGUCUCAAUGCAUGGCAUGGCAUGGCAUGGCAAUUGGCAUUGUGGUUGCAGAUAUCAACCACAUGGAGUACGGAGGCCCGCGUAGGACGGGCGCUGUUUGUCCUCAUCUUUCUCUCCCCCUUUCUUUCUCCGAUCGGAAAUGGCCGGAGGACUGCCACGAGCGAGUCCAUAAACAAUCAUGCUGAUGUGAUCGCUGCCUGUCCACCCCAUGGCCCACGGUGGGGCUUUUACAUGUGGAGUCACAUGUCCGGUGGUUCAUCUCCUGUCAAAUUUGACACAGACAUGUCGAGUUCCCACCCAAUGCUGACACCCAUCCCAGUCCAAAAGGCAUUUACUUUGGAGAAAACUGUCGCAAUCAUUUUGGAGGCGAUGAUGGAAAACCACUGCAAUCAUCUUUUUCUUGAGCUCUGAAUCACUCGCAACAGCUGCGGCUCAAUCUGAGACAACAGUGAUCUCAUGAUAUACGCAAUCAUUUUUUUUGGUGUUAGGAGAGAACGCUGCAAUCAUCUUCUUCUUUAGCUCUGAAUCGCUCGAGCAAAAUGCUGCCUCAAUCUGAGAUCUCAUGAUACACGCAAUCAUUUUGUAGGUGUUUGUAGAAAACACUGACUGCAAUCAUCUUUUUCUUGAGCUUUGAAUCAUUUGCGGCUGUUGCAGAUGGUGAUCUCAUGAUACAUGCAAUCAUCUCGGUGUUGUUAGUAGAAUACACGGCAAUCAUCUUUUUCUUGAGACUCGAAUCAUUUGCGGCUGUAGCAAAUGCUGGCUCAAAGUGAGAUAAAGAGUGAUAUCAUGUCACAUCUUCUUCUUAAGGUUUGAAUCAUUUGCAACAGUGGGAAAAAUGCUGGCUCAAAGUACUGAGCCGAUUGAAGGUGAUCCCAUGACAUGGCAAUCAUUUUGGAGGUGUUAAUAGGAAACACUGCAGUCAUCUUUUUCUUGAGCUUUGAAUCACUUGCAACUGUAAGAAAAUGUUCUACAGCUGUCAUAAAUGCUGGCUCAAAGUGAGAUAGCAGUGGACUUUGAAGUGUUAGCAGGAAACACUGCAACCAUCUUUUGCGUGAGCUCUGAAUCCAUUUGCAACUGCUGGCUCCAAGUGAGAUGACAGUGAUCUCAUGCCAUUUUUGGAGGUGUUGGUAGAAAACACUGCAUCCAUCUUUUCCUGGAGCUUUUGAAUCAGUUGCAAAUGCUGGCUCAAAGUGAGAUACAAGUGAUAUCAUGACACUGCAACCAUCUUCUUAUGGAGCUUAAUUGGCAUCUUAAAUAACCAUUAAAGACCUUCCUGACCACAUGAAUCUGCCUCACACACUUGCACUGACGAUGUUAUCUUUUACCUUCCACUGGUGUCUGUGGAUGCAGAGGACUAAAUCUUUUCAAAGAUGGGAAGAAGCAGUGAAGACAAAAGUUUGGCAGGCCUUCACCUUCCUUGGCCCCUGGCGGGGUAUAAUAAGAAAGUGAUUUGAAAGGCAGUCCUGAAGACGACAAUGUCUUGGCAUGAAAGAUGAGUUUGUGUCAUCCUGAAAGCCAACACUGCCACCAAGCCUUUCUCCCUCAACUGGGAACCUCGUGGGGGCUUCUCUUCUCCCCCUCUGCCACCCAAUCUCUUUGGCCCCUUGUGCUCGUCCACUUCCCUCUUUUGCUCCUUUCAGAUAUCCUUCUCUUCCUGCAGCAGCAAAACCCCACUACCCCAGUGUUGUUUGUGUUUUGCACCAACAUUAUUAGUCUAUAAUACCUCAUUUGCUUUGGUACUUCAGAAGAAAAGAUACACAGACACACAUCUAUGAUUGCCGUGACUUUGGCCACAUGGUUUUGUCUUUGAAUUCCUUGGAAGAAAAAAGUCUGUGGGACUCUCAGUUGUGAAUCUAAAACCUACUUUUGGAGUCCCACUGACAUGAUAUAUGAACAUGAAAACUGAGCUUAUGCAUGCCCAGACUAGGCCAAUCUUCUCUGGAAGAAGGAUGAAGACAUAAUAGACUCUCGAUUCAGUUCCUAUUCAUGAAAACUCCAAGUGAGCUACCUGCUCAACAAGUGCAUAAAUUAUUAGCAAGUUUUGGCAGAUCAAUGUUUCAUGUUACAGAAGCAUUUGUUGCAAGCUCUCGUGGUGUAUGACUUUUAGUAGAGCAGACCACCUCUUUAUUUCUCCAGCUCUCUACACCGAUUCCUUUUCUCCUCUCUGCUACCACAAAACUCUGAUCAUAUGAAUCAACUUUUGUCCAUUCCUUCAUCAGGAUUCAUUUUUCUGAUCGCGUCAGUCAACUCGAAAUAUCGCAAGCAUAAAACCUCAGAUUGUUCUGCCAUUCCACUGAGACCUUCCAAGUACAAGAUUCCUUACAGCCUCCUCCACCCCUUGUUCCAAAGCAGAUCGGGAGACAAGAAAAGAACAAAACAAAUGCAUCCUAACACAAUCUGAGGCACAUCCAACUUCUGACAAUGAUCCUGUCAUUUCCUUCACUUUAUGAAAACACAAUCUUUAAUUAAAUUCAUGGACAAAAGGGUGGGUUGUAACUCUUCAGAUUUUUGUUGCAUCACAGAUUGCAGAUUGAAUAGUUAGCAGCACUAUCUUUCACUAAUGAUCAUGAUGAUUAAUGGCCAUACAUUUCACACCAAUUCUCUUUACUUUUUUUGCUUACUAAUCUUGUUUGGUAAAAAGAAAAACAAAUUCCUAGAAACAUUAAAUAAAAUGUAUAUAUAUACAUAUCUAUCCCCUUCAAAGUCAAUAAUUUUCGUAUUUAUCCGGCUAAAAAUAAUUUUAGCAUAUAUAUAUAUAUAUAUAUAUCAAUGUUAUUCUCUAUUAAUUGAUCAUUAAUUAUAAUUAUAAUUUUUUAAUACUAGGUGGUUAAUGGGUUAAUAAUAUCUUGAUAUUUAAAGGGAGACACAUACUAUAUUAACAUAUAUAAAGGCAAAUAUGUAAUUUUUCAAACUGGAGAAGGUUAGAUAUGUACUAAGCCCUUCAGACCUGUUAUAGAUAUUUUUGAAAAUAAAAAAUAUUAUUUUAUUGUUUAUAACUCCAGUAUUAAUGAUUUUAUUAUUAUUAUUAUUAUUUUCACAACCUCGAAAAAUAAAAAAAGAGUAUUUAUAUUUAUUUACAGUAAUUUAAAAAUAUUAAAAAAAUUUAAAAUAAAAUUUUAAAUAAUAGAAAAUAUAAAUAAUCUCUAACAAAGAAUGAGAAGGUUACCCAUCGACGAAAUAUUGAGGAUUUGUAACAAAAGUAGCAGCAUCAAAGAUGAUACAACUGUCUUUUUCUUUUGACACGUGUGCGGAAUAAACCCUGUCCCCACAAAUCCUGUCUUCCUCCUUCGGCAACUCACAGCACCACCAAUUCCUCUCUCUCUCUCUCUCUCUCUCUCUCGAUGCGCGCGCGCACACGCACACAGGAACGUCGGUCAAAGAUGACGGACGGCAAACAUGCCAUUCGUGGCCCUCCCGGCUGGGUCGCUGCGUCCCCUGCGCUUUUUUGGCUGAAAAGAAGCAUCUUUUCCAUCCAAGUGUCGCAUUUCACCCUCCAAAUCUUUUUAUGUUGAAGAAAAUGCUGCUCUCACUCUCUUCCGUCGAAGCUAGUGGAGCUUCCAACGUUCCUGCUGCUGCUGCUCUGUUUUAUUCUCUUUCUCUCACCUGCUGAUGCCAGGAAGGUUGGGCUCUGUCACAUCCUUUGCGCUUUGGGUUAGAUUAACCGGUUACAGUUCUCAAAGAUCGACCUUUUCCUCUCUUUCCUGAUUCAUUUCCAUAGAUAUUUCGGUCUUUGAGGUGCCAACUUUUGUCUGCAAGCCAACCUUUUGCCAACAGGUAAACAGUGUCUUGUGGAGUGGUUUUUCUUCAUCGCUGUUGUUUUGGGUCUCUCCAGCAUCUGUUCUGAACUCUCCCCGUCACCGAACGGUUUCAAUGCUUCUCUAUUUACGACACUAGUGGUUUCUGCUAAAGGAGGCGUCUCCCUCCCGAGUUCCGGAGUCGCAGAAACAGGGUUUCGACUGGUUUUGGCGUGGUCCGGAAGAGGAGGUCGGGAUCGUACAGGUUGCCGAUGCCGGACCGUCUGCGGCUCGGAACGGCGAUCAAGCACAACUCUUGCAGGUACAACUGUGGGUUCUUUUACUGGAGGGGCAGUCCACUUGCAAUUGAUGCAUUUCUCAGGUUUGAUGGCUGAUUUAAUUGACUUAAAACUCUAAAAUUAUCUGACAGAUUUCGAUGCCCGAUUUGAUGGAGAAUCCCAUUGCAGUUUGACAGCCCAAGAUGUGCGAAGAUGAUAAUUGGUCGAUUGCAAUGUUUUCUAAGAAAUGGAAUUACAUAUAUUUAUCGCGAAAUUCAGAGAAUUAACAACAAAGGUGAGAAUUAUUACUUGUCAAACUUUGUUUCCUCAAGUUCCAGAGUCAUAACAAGAAUCUAACAAGAAAAGGAAGGAAAGUUGAGGAUAUAUCAAAGAUUUGUGAGGUACUUCUCAUGACUUUUUGAUAAAAGAUUCAAAAGUAACUCAAGCUUGGUCUUAAAUAACUUUAAUAAUGUUGUUUUAUCUAUCAAGGCAAUCAGAUUAAGGAGCAUUUAUUUGUCUUCCCUGUUAAAUCUUUUUCCUCUGCCACUGUGUUGGAUUUGUUUUCUCCCAAUUUUCUUACUCAAAAUGUGCAUGAUUAGUGAUUAGAUUGUCAUAUUACUUCUUGAAUCAUGGAUGAUUUUUCCUGCAUUAUUAAUAAGCAGAAGCUGUUCCUGUGGUUAGCUAUUCAGAUUCCCUUGCUUGAUCUACUCCAAAUUUAACUAAAACAAGAAUUGUUUAUGAGCUUAUUGUCUUCUGCAUUGUUCAAUGUAUAAAAGAGCCAAUUACUAAAACUUCUUUUGCGGUGGCCUUACCAGGUGUUAUCAAGAUCUAUAAAGCUGUUAGAUUGGCUAAUUAUGGUCACUGUCAUGGAGUCUAUCUUGUAUGAGUAUGCUAGUUCCGGCUUGGUUGAUUAUUUCAGAUCUGAUUUAAGGAGAAAAUCUUUGGGGAAAUGUAAUCCAUGUAGGUCGUUAUAGAUACCGUAGUUACUCCAAGAUGUUAGGACAUCAUGUAAGAAUUGCAAACUGUUUAGCAGUUGAAACAAACAGAAAACAGUAUCUAUGUUUCGACGACCUCUACUGCUAAUUUUGUUGUUCAUGUGGUUCAUUUUGCAUUUCAAUGACUUCAAAUAUUUUCUUUUGGGGUGUUGUCCCCCGUUACUAUUAAUAUGAUAGACAAUUACUUAUAUAUACCCUGUUGGUAUUGUUGUUGAUGUUGUCAUCAUAAACUUGAAUAAGCUAAAUUUGUGCUGCUAUUUUUAAGUGCUGUUAUGCAUUUGUUUCAUAUUCACAUUAUCAUGCUUUAUGUUUCAUCUUAUGCAAUUUAUAGAAUGCAACCUUUACUGUCUUCAUCUGAUGUGCCUCAUUUAUUGUAUAUUUAGUCUUCUUAUAUCACUCCUGCCCUUUAGUUAGAUGGAGGACAAUGUCUAUUGUUGCAAUUGUUCCCACUGCUCUGACGGCAAUUGGGGUUAUGAUCUUAUAAACCUUUCCUCCUUGUGCAUCCAACCUCUAUGUCAUCUCCUGCAUAACAGCAAGGGAAGCUUUUCAGGCUGAAACAGCUAUUUGCAAGAUGUGUCCAUGGCAGCUUAUGAUUUUACAACAGCUAUGCUCAUACAACAAUCAAGAACAGAUACAGGUUAUGAUUUUACUAUAAUCAUAAACACAGUAAUGCAUGCCCGAAAGAUUAUCUUCCCAAAUACUUUUUGUCUUAAGUAAACAUGUUCUACAAACUUGUUUGAUUAACUUGAAUCCCUCUGCACAGGUUUCCAGUUUUGUUAUCAGUCUCUGCUUUUUGAGCAUAGUGAACAAGUUUGGCAAAAGUAUGCCUUCUUGCAGUUCUUGUACAUAUCUGGCAAUUCGUGGAGACUAAGCGCCGGUCUUUGAAAGAGAUCGAGAGUGCUCUUAUUGCAGCAGGUUGAUAUAAGAUUACCCAAAUCAUUCUGCCAAUGAGAAAUUUGUCCUUUUGGUUUUUCAAAAGCUUGGGCACAUCGAGGAUAAUGUAGUCCUGACUCAAGUAAUUCAAACCUGAUGGCCCUCAAAACUUUAGAGAGGGAGAGAGAGAACUUGGCAUUUGUUCUAAUUGAAAGUCUUAUUCUCAGUCAUAAGGUUUAUUGCAGUAAUGUGAACUGAAUGUUUAGUCUGUCCCAAAGACAUGGAUUGGACUCAAUCUUCAAGUUUCAAACUGCAGUUUGAUUGAAACUGUGAGCUUGCAAGCUUUGUCUGCACAUCAGAAUGUAUAGCAGCUACUGCUACUUUUGUUGUCUGCUCUCCUGGUCAGUUGACCAAUUCUUAUUUGGUCAAAAGAAAAUAAUACACUUUUGUUUGUUCUAAGUGAUCUUGUGCUUAUGCUAAGUCUUUUUGAGAGGAGUUGAUGUUAUUAAACUAAUUUGAGAUUUUGUUGUGAAAAUAAUUUGGAAACUCAUGUUCAACUGUUUGUAGCAAUCAUUCUUUCUCUGCAGACAAACCAUAUUUUGAUCAUACUGAACUUCCCAAUUAUGCCAAGCCUCUUCUACUUGGCAAAAGUAAACAUGGAAGUCAAUUCUGGUGUUCUUAAUUCUUGUGAUGUGUUUUGACACUGUGUGGUUCCUAAUAUAAGAAUAUGAUUCUGGUCAACAUCACAUGUGAAUGCACACUCAAGAAUUUGAAGCCCCAUCACCAUCAGUUAGUAUGUCUUCCUCACAAACAUAGCAUCAAAACCAUGAACAUCACAUGAACUUUGAAAGCUCCUACAUUCAUUAUAUAGAUUUCUUUUCCAAAACAUGAACAACACAAGGAUCGGCACGGAUCGAUUUUUAACUUUUUUUAAUAUUUUUAAUUAAUAUUGAUCAUAAUUAAUUGAUGCACCGUCCAAUAUGUACCGAUCCGAUAGAUCACCUUGUCCCCUAGGAAGGAAGGACUGAACCUGGAUCAUCUGACUUCUGAUGACAGUAAAAGUCGUGAUGGUCUCGAUCAUUCAUACCGGAAUUCCAACUUUCUAGUGAGAAAACAUGAAACCGAUGUAUCGUUCAUUCGUUUGUCUGACUUGACUGAAUCUUUUAGGCAAACCCAGUAACACGGAAACACAAAGAAUUGAAUGCAGUUCGUAGAUGCAGAUCACGUGGACAUACACAUCUCGUUGGUGUUAUCGUCCAUGUCGUGAUCACCUGACAACAAGAUGUUAUCAAGAACGAACCCACAGGAACACGGAGAGCCAAUUCCGCGUCUUUCAAGUCUUCUGCUUGCAACUGUGUCCGCGGGAAUUUCCAUCCUCGUCAGUCGUCGUCUUCUUCUUCUUCUUCUGCUCAGGAACUGGUAGGUCAACUCCGUCAUGGACUUCUCCUCCUAGCAUGCAGCGAUAUUAUAUGACGGGAGAGAGCGGAAGUCAACGCCUCUAUACAGUAUUUGUGACUGCCGUAAGAUCUAGAAAGGAACAAAUGAGAAGAACAGAGAAGUGGAUCUUACUGAAUCGACCAUUAAUAGAGACAGAUAGUGCAUGUUCUUGUCAGGGAAACACCUAGAGUGUUGGAACUAGAGCAAUGCAAAAUGACAAGUCUUCUGAUACUGAAAGCUCGUCAACUCCAUUUGGAGUUGUGUAAGCUUAUAAAUUAUAAGCUUGCUAUUAAUAACCUAUUUUCUAUUUCUAUUGGUAGCCUCCUUAUUAUUGGAAAUUUCAAAAAAAAUUAAUUUUACUAUUUACAAUGAUAUGAUAAACACAAGGAUUAUAUAUAUAUAUAUAUAUAUAUAUAUAUAUAUAUAUAUACAUAUAUAUAUAUAUGUAUAUAUAUGUAUGUAUAUAUAUGUAUGUAUAUAUAUAGUUGCAAAGAUUAAUAUGUAGGAGGAGGUGAGCUUACGGGAGGGUAAUCGGAUAGCAGCUGUGUGUGUGUGUGUGUGUGUGAGAGAGAGAGAGAGAGAGAGAGAGAGGGAGAGAGAAUUGGUUGACUGUUUUGUGUUGUAUUAGGUGAUAUCAAAGAGAAGAAUAAUAAUACUAAGCCAUCAAUGAGCAACACAACGCACGGUCUCUCUCCUUUGAACAAGCCAUACUUCCACCUUCCCACCGUGUUCUUGGCAGCUUCUCAGUCCCCCACCAUGUCGGCAUUCGUUUAUAAGACCACGUCCACCUUCUGCAUUGAUUCCGCAGUCCUUUUGACAGUUGCUCCUGCAAGCCUUUCGAUCUCUCAUCUCCAUUUCCUUCUCUUCAGCCUAUUGAAACCUCUCUCUCUCUCUCUCUCUCUCUCUCUCUCUUAUUCCCUUUCUUCGUAAUUUCUUCCUCGCUGAGAGUGCUGAACAUGGCGGGCAGACGGCUCCGGGGCGACUCCGACGAGAGCCCACCGGAGCAGUCGGAAGAAAAGAGGAUGAGGCGUCUGCCUUCCUUCUCAACGUUUGUGAUUCUUUCUUUCUCAUAUACUGGAAGUAGUUCUUCAGAUCUUUGUUGAUGCUGGAGAAGUUGCUUCUCUCAUUACAAGAUCUCAUGCUUGUUAGUCUCUUCAUAAGGCACAGUUGGUGGCUUGGAAGAAGCUGCUUCAUAUCUUUCUGUUCUAGUUGUAGGUUACUUGAACAUCUUGUAAAAGGUGAUGUUCUUGAUGCGAGUCUUCAUCUAACGCUCAACCUCUCUCUCUCUCUCUCUCUCUCUCUCUCUCUCUCUCUGUGU
rnacentral:lncRNA from 1 species